CGGUAACAGACUAAGAAGGGAACUGCAGAACCCAAAUUAGAAAGAAACCACAGGCAGAGAACAGAAGGGUGAAAGUUCAAGCAAGCUAGCCGGCAAAAAAGCAAACUUGACCACCAAGGAUAAAAGAGAUCUUAUCCAAGGAUGCAAAAGAUAAUCUCACUUUUGACACCCACUGAUCUCGAACUUAAAGAA
rnacentral:sRNA from 10 species